rnacentral:rRNA from 2 species
CUGGCCGGCUGCUUACCAUGCAAGUCGAACGAGAACGCUUCAGCUUGCUGAGGCAAGUAAAGUGGCGCACGGGUGAGUAACGCGUGGGUAAUCUACCUCCGAAUUGGGGAUAACAUUGCGAAAGCGGUGCUAAUACCGAAUAAUAUCACCGGGACCCCGGUCUUGGGGAUCAAAGGUGGCCUCUACACGUAAGCUACCGUUUGGAGAUGAGCCCGCGUACCAUUAGCUAGUUGGUAGGGUAAUGGCCUACCAAGGCUACGAUGGUUAGCUGGUCUGAGAGGAUGAUCAGCCACACUGGAACUGACACACGGUCCAGACUCCUACGGGAGGCAGCAGUGAGGAAUUUUGCGCAAUGGGGGAAACCCUGACGCAGCAACGCCGCGUGAGUGAUGAAGGCCUUCGGGUCGUAAAGCUCUGUCAAGUGGGAAGAAUCUGCUCUGUGAUAAUACCACGGGGCACUGACGGUACCACUGAAGGAAGCACCGGCUAACUCCGUGCCAGCAGCCGCGGUAAUACGGGGGGUGCUAGCGUUAUUCGGAAUCAUUGGGCGUAAAGGGCGCGUAGGCGGUCUCUUAAGUCAGAUGUGAAAGCCCUCGGCUUAACCGGGGAAGUGCAUUUGAUACUAAGAGACUUGAGUAUGGGAGAGGGAAGCGGAAUUCCUGGUGUAGCGGUGAAAUGCGUAGAUAUCAGGAGGAACACCGGUGGCGAAGGCGGCUUCCUGGACCAAUACUGACGCUGAGGCGCGAAAGGCGUGGGGAGCAAACAGGAUUAGAUACCCUGGUAGUCCACGCAGUAACGGUGACACUAAGUGUUAGCGGGU